CCCGGCGAGGGGAGUGAAAAAGAACCUGAAACCGUGUACGUACAAGCAGUGGGAGCCUCUUUAUGGGGUGACUGCGUACCUUUUGUAUAAUGGGUCAGCGACUUAUAUUCUGUAGCAAGGUUAACCGCAUAGGGGAGCCGAAGGGAAACCGAGUCUUAACUGGGCGUUAAGUUGCAGGGUAUAGACCCGAAACCCGGUGAUCUAGCCAUGGGCAGGUUGAAGGUUGGGUAACACUAACUGGAGGACCGAACCGAC
rnacentral:rRNA from 1 species